rnacentral:rRNA from 1 species
UACGUAGGGGGCAAGCGUUGUCCGGAAUUAUUGGGCGUAAAGAGCGCGUAGGCGGUCCGAUAAGUCGGCUGUGAAAGUCAGGGGCUCAACCCUUGAAAGCCGGCCGAUACUGUCGGACUAGAGUCCGGAAGAGGCGAGUGGAAUUCCCGGUGUAGCGGUGAAAUGCGCAGAUAUCGGGAGGAACACCAAUGGCGAAGGCAGCUCGCUGGGACGGUACUGACGCUGAGGCGC